rnacentral:lncRNA from 1 species
UCAUGCAAUCAUCACAGUUCAUGCAUUCAAAGAAUUAUAAUGACCAUACAACACAUAUGUUAACUUUGGCUGGUGGGAGACCACCACAGCUCUGGUGCUCAUUGGCUUCGAGUGAGGCAACAUAGGCAUCUAACACAUGUCACCAGUGUGCCCUGCCCCCAUGCCUGUUCUUUUUAGCUCGCCCUAGAUAUCCUGCCACAAUCUAGCUAACACUUGCUUGUUAGAUCAGUGGCAAUUGCAGCAAUUGCGCUUCUUCUUAUGGAGAUCUGUGUUCAGUGUUGGGCCAGCAGUUGCUAAUUUGGCCCCCAACCACAACAAUCUAGAUUUUUGUGUGCUAUGGAAAUUUGAGACAUCUUCAUUUGGGUUUGUGGAUGCCAUCGAGCGGCAGAGCUGGAGCCAAAGCCAACCUUCAACGCAGCCAGAACCAUCAGAGAGUUUGCAGUCCCUAUUCUUCUACAAGAGAGAACAAGCCCAAGGUGAGUUCUCGAACUUGCAAACCCCACCCACCUCUAGUGUCAUUAUAUUCUCCAAAACUUUGACUAGCUUCCCAUCGAGUUCCUUGCCUUCUUCUCCAGCCGCCAGGCCCUUGAUCCUGCCUAUUCUCUGCAUUCAGGGUGUUCCAGCAAAGCUCUUGAUUGGCAAACCAGACUCAUUUGCACUUCUGCAGUGGUGGUGGUGGUCAAGAUGCAAUGAAAAGCUUUUUGAGUGUUCACCACGCCCUGGAAAAGGUGUGCUAGUCCUGUGUCUGGAGCUUGAUUCCAAGGACGAGAACAAUUGACUAGUAAAUUGACAAUUGAGAACAAUUGGAUAAACAUCAUGUUAUCAGGACCUAAUGGGACUAUUUCUGUGACAAUUGACUAGUAAAUUUUUUAUGGAAGCCUAACUUGUACAUCAUGAACAUUAAUGGCUGUUAGCACAAAGACUGAGUCCUACUUUAAAUUUUCCAUUAAAAAAAAGAUAGAGAAAUAAGAUUUUAAAAACUCACAACAGACUAUUUUUCCAAAUGUGACAAUUGACUAGUAAAUUUUUUAUGGAAGCUUACCUUGAACAUUAAUGGCUGUUAGCGCAUAAAUUUUCCAUAAACAAAAAAAACAGAAAUAAGACUCUCACAACCACCUUUCAAAAGAAGCCAACUGAAG